GCGGCGGACGGGUGAGUAACACGUGGGUAACCUGCCCAUAAGACUGGGAUAACUCCGGGAAACCGGGGCUAAUACCGGAUAACAUUUUGAACCGCAUGGUUCGAAAUUGAAAGGCGGCUUCGGCUGUCACUUAUGGAUGGACCCGCGUCGCAUUAGCUAGUUGGUGAGGUAACGGCUCACCAAGGCAACGAUGCGUAGCCGACCUGAGAGGGUGAUCGGCCACACUGGGACUGAGACACGGCCCAGACUCCUACGGGAGGCAGCAGUAGGGAAUCUUCCGCAAUGGACGAAAGUCUGACGGAGCAACGCCGCGUGAGUGAUGAAGGCUUUCGGGUCGUAAAACUCUGUUGUUAGGGAAGAACAAGUGCUAGUUGAAUAAGCUGGCACCUUGACGGUACCUAACCAGAAAGCCACGGCUAACUACGUGCCAGCAGCCGCGGUAAUACGUAGGUGGCAAGCGUUAUCCGGAAUUAUUGGGCGUAAAGCGCGCGCAGGUGGUUUCUUAAGUCUGAUGUGAAAGCCCACGGCUCAACCGUGGAGGGUCAUUGGAAACUGGGAGACUUGAGUGCAGAGAGGAAAGUGG
rnacentral:rRNA from 1 species